rnacentral:rRNA from 1 species
GACGAACGCUGGCGGCGUGCCUAAUACAUGCAAGUUGAGCGCUGAAGGUUGGUACUUGUACCAACUGGAUGAGCAGCGAACGGGUGAGUAACGCGUGGGGAAUCUGCCUUUGAGCGGGGGACAACAUUUGGAAACGAAUGCUAAUACCGCAUAAAAACUUUAAACACAAGUUUUAAGUUUGGAAGAUGCAAUUGCAUCACUCAAAGAUGAUCCCGCGUUGUAUUAGCUAGUUGGUGAGGUAAAGGCUCACCAAGGCGAUGAUACAUAGCCGACCUGAGAGGGUGAUCGGCCACAUUGGGACUGAGACACGGCCCAAACUCCUACGGGAGGCAGCAGUAGGGAAUCUUCGGCAAUGGGCGAAAGUCUGACCGAGCAACGCCGCGUGAGUGAAGAAGGUUUUCGGAUCGUAAAACUCUGUUGGUAGAGAAGAACGUUGGUGAGAGUGGAAAGCUCAUCAAGUGACGGUAACUACCCAGAAAGGGACGGCUAACUACGUG